UCCAGAGGUCUCAAGCGUUGUUCGGAUUCAUUGGGCGUAAAGGGUGCGUAGGUGGCGCCGUAAGUCAGGUGUGAAAUUUCGGAGCUCAACUCCGAAACUGCAUUUGAUACUGCGGUGCUUGAGGACUGGAGAGGAGACUGGAAUUCACGGUGUAGCAGUGAAAUGCGUAGAUAUCGUGAGGAAGACCAGUGGCGAAGGCGGGUCUCUGGACAGUUCCUGACACUGAGGCACGAAGGCCAGGGGAGCAAACGGG
rnacentral:rRNA from 1 species